GCCAAAUAAGAUGGGCUGGAUCAAUAUUCUUAUAUUUCUCUGAUGCUUUUGAUUUGUUCUGUGGGUUACUUUUAUUUCCAUUUUUAAAAUGAAGUUCAAGAGUCUAGGUCCAGCAGACUGGAUUCUACUAUUUUUCUCAUUUUUUCCAUUCUCGUAAUAAUACUUUGUUCAUGGGGACAGCUUAGAGGAAGUUCCCACUUAAUGGAUAAAUAAAAUAGUGCAUUGGUCUUCAGUGACUGAUAAACUAUCAUUUUGGUGUUAUUCUCUGAUGCUAAUGGUGACCUGUACACUGCCUAAGUUUUGUGUAAUGUCAAAAUGCUGUUGUUUUCUUACAUGUGAUGUGCUGGUUAUCUCUGAUUUCGUUCAAGUUUUUUACAGACAGAAUUACUGAGCUAGUCCAGUGUAAAUAUUUGCACAUGCUUAGAUGGAAGAGAUUUUGUACACGCAGCAACGUUAUUGAACAACUUUAUCCUCUCUAUCAGAAGCGAAUUAGUCACAUCAUGGAGGAAUACAGUGAUGCAGUUCAGAGGGCUGCAAGACUUUCGGCUGCAAGGGAAACUUUCCUGACAGGAAAGAAAAAUCCGGUGAAUGUAGUGACACAGGAAGAUAUGAUGAUCUACACCCAGUGGUUAGUGUGUCACUUGCACUCUGUGAAGGGCAUUCACCAUUUUCUUCAGGUUCUCCAGCAUUUGCCUGUUUCUCGCAGAAUGAAUGUGGCUAGGGAGAAAUGUCCUGAUGUGGUCCAAGACAACUGGGACAUGUUAAGAAGUGCUCUUUACAAGAAUUCAGAUAUUUUUAACAUUAAUGUCUCUCUCUGCUCCAGAGUUAUACAAAAAAAUGAAUCCUGCUGCAAGGACGCUGGAUCCACUUUACCCCAGCACAGCACUGAAACAGAGGAGCUGAAACCUCAGCUCCAGCUUCUGCUUGCUCACUUUGACAUCAACUACAGCCUUAAGGAUCUGAAGAAUUCAGCUGAUGAGAUGGAGCUCUUUUUCCUGGUUGUCCAGAAAUUUAGAAGCAUCUUCUGCAAACAGCAGACAAUGAGGACAUUUCCUGUUUAUGAUGCAGAGGUUUCUAGAUCAGAAAACUGGGGCAUGUUAGAUCCAACUAGGGCUUUGAAAAAAAGAGCUAACUGGAUUCCUUUUUUAAGGAUUAAGCCUAAAGUAGAUCCCUGGCAGCAAAAACUUUUGAUAAAACUGAAACAGUGGAAGAAAGUGGAUAAGCUGAUGGACCUUCAUUCAAAAUUUGUAGAGGUAAUAUAACUUCUCAUUUAAAAAAAUCACUUUCUUUUUUUUUUGGACACUUUCAGGGAAAUCGAAAUGCCUAGAGAGAGGUGGC
rnacentral:lncRNA from 1 species